CCUCCAAGGCUAAAUACUCCUGACUGACCGAUAGUGAACCAGUACCGUGAGGGAAAGGCGAAAAGAACCCCGGCGAGGGGAGUGAAAAAGAACCUGAAACCGUGUACGUACAAGCAGUGGGAGCACCUUCGGGUGUGACUGCGUACCUUUUGUAUAAUGGGUCAGCGACUUAUAUUCUGUAGCAAGGUUAACCGUAUAGGGGAGCCGUAGGGAAACCGAGUCUUAACCGGGCGUUAAGUUGCAGGGUAUAGACCCGAAACCCGGUGAUCUAGCCAUGGGCAGGUUGAAGGUUGGGUAACACUAACUGGAGGACCGAACCGAC
rnacentral:rRNA from 1 species